rnacentral:rRNA from 1 species
AUGCACUUUCUUCCCCGUCUUCCACUCUUCUACCUCCUCUCUUCUUCUUCCUCCUCUCUUCUUCUUCCUCCUCUCUUCCACAUCGUCGGCCGCACACCAUUUACCCCCGCUCACUGCUCGCCCGCCCGCGCCAUCUUCCUUGCAGACACAAAUGCGCUGGCCUUCAUGAUUCCAGGACCUGGAAUCAUACCAGCCGAUGGAAAAAUUCACAUCGAGUCGAAGAAGGAUUGGCCGGUGCUGCCGGCUGGCAUCAAGUUCGAUCCCACGGAUCAGGAGCUGAUCGAGCACCUUGAGGCCAAAGUGAGUGCUGACAGCGCGAGAUUUCAGUCUCUCAUCGAUUUGUUCAUACCAACCAUCGACAGCGAGCACGGCAUAUGCUACACCCAACCUGAGAAACUUCCAGUGCAAUUCCAGGGCGUUCAAAAGGGGCACGUGGACGCGUCGCAAGAUACAGUCGGAGUGCGGCAUGCACGCGAUGUGGCACAAGACCGGCAAUACCUUGCCGGUGAUGGUCAACGGCCGGCAAGACCGGCAGCAAAAAAGGUUCUGGUGCUGGACAUCAACAAGAACUUCGACCAGCAGAGGACCAACUGGGUGAUGCACCAGUACCACCUCCGGGACCUGGAGCACGAGAAGGAGCGGGAGCUGGUCCUCUACAAGAUUUUCUACCAGACGAACACUAGGGCCAGGAGUAAAAAGAUUAUAAGUUAG